UGAGAAUAGGGCCUGCUGGGGAGAAGCCCGACUGCAGGGUCUGAGUUCAGUUCCUCCAGACCAGCUGUCUGUCUGGCAUCAUGUGCAACUAAUAGAGAGUGCUGUCCUCAUGAAGACACAAAGGCAAAGCCCCUUGAAAGUAAUUUUCAGUGUUUCCUCAAGGCCAUCGAUGUCACUGGUGCAGAAAGACACAGAGAAGAGUAUG
rnacentral:lncRNA from 1 species